AACACUCAGUACACUGUGAUUCUAUAAAAAUAUUCUAUCUCUUUUAUACAAAAUUUUUAUGAAAAUCCACUUUUAAGAGUUGAUUCUAAUAAAUUUGAUAGAUCGAAAUCAUUAUGUGCAAUUGUCAAUCAUUGGUUUGGCUGGAUCAGCUUUGCUGCAGUCUUCGAACUAAAAUUAAGAUAUUCUGUGCUUGGACUAUUUUACAUUCCAUAAUUUUUUUCGGUGGCUUUGGGUAUUCAGCAUUUACAGAAUGCAAAUACGAUGAACCUUGCAAAGCUAAUCUGUAUAAGGGCUUUUGCUUUCUGUUAUCUGUAAUCCAUGUGGCUGCCGGGAUUAUUAUGCUAUUAAGUUUUCUGUCACAAUAUCUCGGAACAGAAUUUAAAGAAUCAAUUUUUGUUUAGUGUCGCUCUGAGUACAUUAUUUCCUCUGGGAGCUCUACAUAAUUAUCCGUUGGUGUAUUUGAUUAUCUGUCAAGUUGUCUUCAUAGUAUUCGCAGUGAGAUAUAGUGCUACAAUGAAACGAAAUCAAAACGCCGUAGACCCUGCAUAAAUUUUUGAAAAUUUGACAAAUUUUUGCUAAAUAAUAAUACAUAAACUUUUUAUAAGUAACUUAUCAAACCUAGUGUAAUUUUCACGAUUGCUUCAUAAAUGGAAAUUCCACUUGGUCUGAUUAUUUUGCAUUUGCAAUUAAAUUGUAUUAGACAGUA